rnacentral:rRNA from 1 species
CAUACACAAUAUUGUCCGCCCGAGGACUACAAGCGAAAAGCUCGAAACUCCAAGGACUUGGCGGUGCUCCACACCAACCUAGAGGAGCCUGUCCUAUAAUCGAUACCCCACGUUAAACCUCACCCCCCCUUGCCCCCAGCUUAUAUACCGCCGUCGUCAGCUUACCCUGUGAAAGCCCAACAGUAAGCGGAGCCGUUAAUAACGAACACGUCAGGUCAAGGUGUAGCUCAUGAGGCGGAAGAGAUGGGCUACAUUUUCUACACCAGAACACACGAAUGAUCCAAUGAAACAUGCGUCUCAAGGCGGAUUUAGUAGUAAGACAAGCAAGAAACCUUGUCUAAAACUCGCUCUGGAGCGCGCACACACCGCCCGUCACCCUCAUCAA